rnacentral:rRNA from 1 species
AAUCAACGCUGGCGGCGUGCCUAACACAUGCAAGUCGAACGCGAAAGGGGCUUCGGCCCUGAGUAGAGUGGCGAACGGGUGAGUAACACGUGGGUGAUCUACCUUCGAGUGGGGGAUAACGUUCCGAAAGGAGCGCUAAUACCGCAUGACGUUCUGGGUUUGAAGACCUGGAAACCAAAGCCGGGGACCGCAAGGCCUGGCGCUAGAAGAGGAGCCCGCGCCUGAUUAGCUAGUUGGUGAGGUAAUGGCUCACCAAGGCAACGAUCAGUAGCCGGCCUGAGAGGGCGGACGGCCACACUGGGACUGAGACACGGCCCAGACUCCUACGGGAGGCAGCAGUGGGGAAUUGUUCGCAAUGGGCGCAAGCCUGACGACGCAACGCCGCGUGGAGGAUGAAGGUCUUCGGAUUGUAAACUCCUGUUGACCGGGAAGAAUAGGCUUCGAGUGAAUAGCUCGAGGCAAUGACGGUACCGGUUGAGGAAGCCACGGCUAACUCUGUGCCAG